GCCGGAAUAGCUCAGUUGG
rnacentral:tRNA from 13 species